CGUCUGGUGCUCCGAUGACUGGCGACCACGCUUUUAAUCAGGUUGGUGAUAUGACGGUAGAUAAACUUUUUAUGUGAUAUAACUAUGAUUUAUUAUUUCAAUUUCUAACCCUAAACUGAUCCAUGAUAUCGCUACUCUCCUUGAACAUCCGAUUAAGAAACCGGUGAUACAGGAAUUCCAACGACCCUUGAUUUUUGUUCCGACUGCUAUUGCGUUUGACCGGAUAACACUGAUUUACCACUCCCUUUUCAUGGUCGUUACACCUUUAUGCACUUUAUUUGAUUUUGUUCUUUGGUUUUUCGUUUCAUAUCUGUUUGUGAUAGGCUGAAGGUUCAGAUUGUUAGCGAUAAUUCCCAGGUGAUAUCCAUAUAUGAUUUCCGUUUUCAGUUUUUUAGAUAACUUGCAAAUAUCGUUGUUCUUUGGUUUUUCGUUUCAUAUCUGUUUGUGAUAGGCUGAAGGUUCAGAUUGUUAGCGAUACUUCCCAGGUGAUAUCCAUAUAUGAUUUCCGUUUUCAGUUUUUUAGAUAACUAGCAAAUAUCGUCAAUUAGUGUUUGGUAUAAAUAAAAAAACUAUUUUACCAAAAAAAAAAAAACUUCAGUGUGUAUUUCACUUUUGUAUAUUGUCUAUGCAAAUUGUUGCCAUCUCCCCUUGCUUUAAAUAUAAAGUUCGAAACAAGUCGAUAACUCUCUUAAGUUAUACGAGUCUAAACUUGAACCUAAACAAGCUUAAGAGAAGAAAGUCAGUGAGAUUUGGUUUGGGCCAGUCUUUAAAUCUUAGGUGUUAGUAUCAGCUUGAUUUUCAUAAAAAUGUAAUAAAUAUAUUUUGAACACCACCAGAAAAAUAUUUUGAUAUGAAGAAGCUCUUGAGUCUUGAACGACAGGAAAUGCUAAAACAUAGCAUGUUGCCAGUAUGUUGCUUAUUAAAUGGUUAAAACUGGCAUAUUUGGUUAUAAAUGGUAAAGUAUGUCACAUUAAUUAGUUAACAAAAAGUAUGUUAUAUAUCCGUAAAAAGUGCACAGUACAUUGCAUUUUCUUGUGAUUUGCUUUUAAUAUUUUGCUCAAAAUCGUGUCGGUCUUUUUCAGCGAGUUUUGGAUGGAAAGUACGAUGAUCUACCCGAACAAUUGUUUUACAUGGUUGGUGGAAUCGAUGAGGUUAUUGCUAAGGCCGAGAAGAUUGCGAUGUGUGUGUGAAGAAAGAACUAAGGGAACUGUAUAAAUUUAGUUGACUUUUUUUUGUGGAUGGCGGAUCCGUUGACUGCAUUGAUGUACGCAGUUCAAGUAAUGAACUUUAUGAAGACGCUCAUCACGAAAACUCUUCGUGAACGAGAGGAUGCUGUUAUAGAAUCGUCUCGUGGCCCACCACAAGAACCACCGUUAGAUAAAAACGGUGAUCAAGGGCCGAGAUUGAGCCCACACGUGCAACAAAACCAUGAUGAAAAUGAAGUGAAGAAGGCGGGAAGAAGUUUGUUAGUCUUCUGUAUUUGCGUUUGGUGCUCCGGUGACUGGCGACCACACUUUUAAUCAGGUAUUCCGACGGCCCUUGAUUUUUGUUCCGGCUACUGUUACGUUUGACCGGAUAACACUAAUUUACCACUCCCACUUCAUGGUCGUUACCCCUUUAUGCACUUUAUUCUAUUUUGUUCUUUGGUUUUUCGUUUCAUAUCUGUUUGUUGAUUUACUAUUACUUCGCAACUUUGUUUGUCAGGCGAGAC